UACAGAGGGUGCGAGCGUUAAUCGGAAUUACUGGGCGUAAAGCGCACGUAGGCGGCUUGGUAUGUCGGGUGUGAAAUCCCCGGGCUCAACCUGGGAACUGCAUCCGAAACUGCCUUGCUAGAGUAUGGGGGAGGGAAGUGGAAUUUCCGGUGUAGCGGUGAAAUGCGUAGAUAUCGGAAGGAACAUCAGUGGCGAAGGCGACUUCCUGGACCAAUACUGACGCUCAGGUGCGAAAGCGUGGGGAGCAAACAGG
rnacentral:rRNA from 1 species